UGCGUAGGUGGCCGAUUAAGUCAGUGGUGAAAGCCUACAGCUCAACUGUAGAGGUGCCAUUGAUACUGGUCGGCUUGAGUAUGGACGAGGUAGGCGGAAUUUGUGGUGUAGCGGUGAAAUGCAUAGAUACCACAAAGAACACCAAUAGCGAAGGCAGCUUACUGGACCAUAACUGACACUGAGGCACGAAAGCGUGGGGAGCGAACAGGAUUAGAUACCCUGGUAGUC
rnacentral:rRNA from 1 species